rnacentral:rRNA from 1 species
GGUGAACGCUGGCGGUAGGCCUAACACAUGCAAGUCGAACGGCAGCACAGUAAGAGCUUGCUCUUACGGGUGGCGAGUGGCGGGCGGGUGAGGAAUACAUCGGAAUCUACUUUUUCGUGGGGGAUAACGUAGGGAAACUUACGCUAAUACCGCAUACGACCUACGGGUGAAAGCAGGGGAUCUUCGGACCUUGCGCGAUUGAAUGGGCCGAUGUCGGAUUAGCUAGUUGGCGGGGUAAAGGCCCACCAAGGCGACGAUCCGUAGCUGGUCUGAGAGGAUGAUCAGCCACACUGGAACUGGGACACGGUCCAGACUCCUACGGGAGGCAGCAGUGGGGAAUAUUGGGCAAUGGGCGCAAGCCUGAUCCAGCCAUACCGCGUGGGUGAAGAAGGCCUUCGGGUUGUAAAGCCCUUUUGUUGGGAAAGAAAAGCAGCAGGUUAAUACCCCGCUGUUCUGACGGUACCCAAAGAAUAAGCACCGGCUAACUUCGUG